rnacentral:tRNA from 1 species
UCCUCGUUAGUAUAGUGGACAGUAUCUCCGCCUGUCACGCGGAAGACCGGGGUUCGAUUCCGACACGGAC